AUAUAUGUUCAAUGUAUCCAUUUGAUUGCACCCGGCCGUCG
rnacentral:rRNA from 1 species